UUACGGCCACAUCACGUUGAACAACGGUUCCCGUAGGAUCACCGAAGUUAAGCAACAUCAAUCCUGGUCAGUAUCUAGAAUGCUGACCGCUUGGGAAUACCAGGUGCUGUAAG